AUCCCAUGAUAAGGACACUUACAAAGUAAUUCCUUGAAUCUUUCCCAUGCCUCAUUCAAGGAUUCAUCAUCCAAUUGUGAAAAAGUGGUUAUAUCAUUUUUGCAACU
rfam:Gossypium arboreum cultivar AKA8401 contig_74635_1, whole genome shotgun sequence.